rnacentral:rRNA from 1 species
GAUGAACGCUGGCGGCGUGCCUAAUACAUGCAAGUCGAGCGAACAGACGAGGAGCUUGCUCCUCUGACGUUAGCGGCGGACGGGUGAGUAACACGUGGAUAACCUACCUAUAAGACUGGGAUAACUUCGGGAAACCGGAGCUAAUCCCGGAUAAUAUAUUGAACCGCAUGGUUCAAUAGUGAAAGACGGUUUUGCUGUCACUUAUAGAUGGAUCCGCGCCGCAUUAGCUAGUUGGUAAGGUAACGGCUUACCAAGGCAACGCUGCGUAGCCGACCUGAGAGGGUGAUCGGCCACACUGGAACUGAGACACGGUCCAGACUCCUACGGGAGGCAGCAGUAGGGAAUCUUCCGCAAUGGGCGAAAGCCUUACGGAGCAACGCCGCGUGAGUGAUGAAGGUCUUCGGAUCGUAAAACUCUGUUAUUAGGGAAGAACAAAUGUGUAAGUAACUAUGCACGUCUUGACGGUACCUAAUCAGAAAGCCACGGCUAACUACGUG